UACAGAGGAUGCAAGCGUUAUCCGGAAUGAUUGGGCGUAAAGCGUCUGUAGGUGGCUUUUUAAGUCCGCCGUCAAAUCCCAGGGCUCAACUCUGGACAGGCGGUGGAAACUACCAAGCUGGAGUACGAUAGGGGCAGAGGGAAUUUCCGGUGGAGCGGUGAAAUGCGUAGAGAUCGGAAAGAACACCAGCGGCGAAAGCGCUCUGCUGGGCCGACACUGACACUGAGAGACGAAAGCUAGGGGAGCGAACAGG
rnacentral:rRNA from 1 species